GUGCCACCCUGGCCGGGUCGGUGCCACCCGUGCUGACCCCGCGGUGUCCCCGGUGUCCCCGCAGUCCAGAAGUACCACACGGUGAACGGGCACAACUGCGAGGUGCGCAAAGCUCUGUCCAAGCAGGAGAUGGCCAGCGCCUCGGCCGGGCAGCGAGGCCGCAGCGGUUCCGGAAACUUCGGCGGCGGCGGCCGCGGCGGCUUCGGCGGCGGUGACAACUUCAACCGUGGCGGCAACUUUGGCGGCCGUGGUGAGUGACGGCACGGGGACACGGGGACACGGGGACACGGGGACACGGGGACAGGGAUGGGGCACGGGGACCCGCCGGGCUCCCCCCGGGCUCCGGGGCCCCAGCCCGGUUUGUUCUUUGCAGGUGGAUUUGGCGGCGGCCGCGGCGACGGAUUUAAUGGAUAUGGUGCUGACGGUAAGGCCAGGCCGGGCCCGAGUCCUGUGCCAGGCCAGGUCCUGGCUCCAGGGCAGUGCCAGCCUGGGCCUGAGUGCUGUGCCAGGUGUGGGUACAGCCCUGGGGGCACCGCCAGGCCAGCCCCGAGCCCUGCAGCAGGCCGGGCCUGAGCCCUGGGGGCAGUGCCAGGCUGGACCCCAGCCCCAGGGCACCACCAGGCCGUGCCCCAGCCUUGGGGGCAGUACCAGCCCUGGGGCAGUGCCAGGCCAAGCUCAAGCCCUGCACCAGGCCAGGUUCCAGCCCCGGGGGCAGUGCCAGCCUUGGGGCAGCACCAGGAUGAGCCCCAGGGCAAUGCCAGGUCAUGCCCCAGCCCCGGGGCAGUGCCAGGCCAGGCCCAAGCCCUGCACCAGGCCAGGCCCCAGCCCCAGGGCAGUGCCAGGACUCCCAUCCCCGCAGCCCACCCGUGCCCAGCCGUGCCCGGCCCUGCCCGUGCCGUUCUCUCCCCUCUCUCAGCCCUGUCCCGUCCCCAGGGUACGGCGGCGGCGGCGGCCCCGGGUACUCGGGCGGCAGCCGCGGCUACGGCGGCAGCGGCUCCUACGACGGCUACAACAACGGCGGCGGCGGCUUCGGCGGCGGCAGCGGCGGCAGGCGGCCGGCACGGGGCCCCGCGCUGGCCGUGCGCAACGGGCUGGGCGAGGCGGGCACAGGCAGCAAUUUCGGGGGCGGGGGCAGCUACAACGACUUCGGCAGCUACAACAACCAGGCCUCGAGCUUCGGGCCCAUGAAGGGCGGCAGCUUCGGGGGGCGCAGCUCGGGGCCCUACGGCGGCGGCGGCUACGGCAGCUCCAGCGGCGGCGGCAGCUACGGAGGAGGGAGGAGGUUUUAACGGGCAGCCCCGUCCGUGUCCGUCUGUCCCGCAGGAGCCGGAGCUGGGCGGGAGCUGGGGCGGCCCCGGGACCCCCAAGGAUCCCCCGGGACCCCCAAGGAUCCCCUGGGACCCCUCUGGGACCCUCAGGACCCCCCGGGACCCUCGCCGGGGUCCCCUCGGGGUCGCUGUGCCGGGGUCCCCCCGGGGUCCCCGAGGAGCGGCCGCGGUCCCCGCUGUGUCCUGUCCCCCCCCACCCUUCAAUAAAUGUCUCUUGGGUUUUUUUUUUAAUUAGUUUUGAUUGUUAUUGUUGGGGACAGGGUGACAGCGGGAAUUCUGUGGUGGCACCCGGGGAUGUGGAUGUGUCACCCUCAGGGUGUGUCACCCCCGGGAUGUGUCACAGCUGAGGGAGGUGGCGCCUCCCGGCCCUGAGGGGACAGCAGGAGGAGGUGACAGGAAUGUGCCACCGCGGGGCACAGAGGGUGACACGGUGGGAGGUGACACCGAUGAUGUCCCCACCCGUGUCCCCAGUGUUCCCUCCAUGUCCCCAACAGCUGGGAGGGGACACCGCGCAUGUUCCUGCUCCCGAUCUCCCCUCCAUGUCCCAAAUCGCCCCCAAAUGUCCCCAAUGUCCCCCCAUGACCCCGAAUGACCAAAGGGCAGACGAGGCCCCGCCCACAGAAGGCGUGGCCACGAGAGGGGCGUGUCCAACAGCGG
rnacentral:lncRNA from 1 species